rnacentral:rRNA from 1 species
AGUGAGUGGCGGACGGGUGAGUAACACGUGGGUAACCUGCCCAGAAGCAGGGGAUAACACCUGGAAACAGAUGCUAAUACCGUAUAACAGAGAAAACCGCCUGGUUUUCUUUUAAAAAAUGGCUCUGCUAUCACUUCUGGAUGGACCCGCGGCGCAUUAGCUAGUUGGUGAGGUAACGGCUCACCAAGGCGAUGAUGCGUACCCGACCUGAGAGGGUAAUCGGCCACAUUGGGACUGAGACACGGCCCACACUCCUACGGGAGGCAGCAGUAGGGAAUCUUCCACAAUGGACGCAAGUCUGAUGGAGCAACGCCGCGUGAGUGAAGAAGGGUUUCGGCUCGUAAAGCUCUGUUGUUAAAGAAGAACGUGGGUGAGAGUAACUGUUCACCCAGUGACGGUAUUUAACCAGAAAGCCACGGCUAACUACGUGCCAGCAGCCGCGGUAAUACGUAGGUGGCAAGCGUUAUCCGAUUUAUUGGGCGUAAAGCGAGCGCAGGCGGUCUUUUAAGUCUAAUGUGAAAGCCUUCGGCUCAACCGAAGAAGUGCAUUGGAAACUGGGAGACUUGAGUGCAGAAGAGGACAGUGGAACUCCAUGUGUAGCGGUGAAAUGCGUAGAUAUAUGGAAGAACACCAGUGGCGAAGGCGGCUGUCUGGUCUGUAACUGACGCUGAGGCUCGAAAGCAUGGGUAGCGAACAGGAUUAGAUACCCUGGUAGUCCAUGCCGUAAACGAUGAUUACUAAGUGUUGGAGGGUUUCCGCCCUUCAGUGCUGCAGCUAACGCAUUAAGUAAUCCGCCUGGGGAGUACGACCGCAAGGUUGAAACUCAAAAGAAUUGACGGGGGCCCGCACAAGCGGUGGAGCAUGUGGUUUAUAUUCGAAGCUACGCGAAGAACCUUACCAGGUCUUGACAUCUUCUGCCAACCUAAGAGAUUAGGCGUUCCCUUCGGGGACAGAAUGACAGGUGGUGCAUGGUUGUCGUCAGCUCGUGUCGUGAGAUGUUGGGUUAAGUCCCGCAACGAGCGCAACCCUUAUUACUAGUUGCCAGCAUUCAGUUGGGCACUCUAGUGAGACUGCCGGUGACAAACCGGAGGAAGGUGGGGACGACGUCAAAUCAUCAUGCCCCUUAUGACCUGGGCUACACACGUGCUACAAUGGAUGGUACAACGAGUCGCGAAACCGCGAGGUUUAGCUAAUCUCUUAAACCAUUCUCAGUUCGGACUGUAGGCUGCAACUCGCCUACACGAAGUCGGAAUCGCUAGUAAUCGCGGAUCAGCAUGCCGCGGUGAAUACGUUCCCGGGCCUUGUACACACCGCCCGUCACACCAUGAGAGUUUGUAACACCCAAAGCCGGUGGGGUAAC